rnacentral:lncRNA from 1 species
GGGAACACAGAGAUGAGGACAGAGGGGAUACAGUGAUGGGGACAGCAGGGGUAAAGUGAUGGGGACAAUGGGGAUACUGCAAUGGGGACAGCGGAAAUACAGCAAUGGGGACAAUGGGGAUACUGCGAUGGGGACAGUGGGGACACAGUGAUGGGGAUACUUUGAUGGGGACAAUGGGGACACAGUGAUGGGGACAGUGGGGAUACUGCAAUGGGGACAAUGGGGACACAGUGAUGGGGACAGUGGGGAUACUGCAAUGGGGACAGCGGGGAUACAGCAGUGGGGACAAUGGGGAUACUGCAAUGGACAGAGCAGGGGUACAGAGAUAAGGACAGCAGGGAUACAGAGAUAAGGACAGCAGGGAUACAGUGAUGUGGACAGUGAGGACACAGCGAUGGAGACAGUGAGGAUGCAGGGAUGGGGACAGAGGGACACAGUGAUGGGGAUGCAGUGAUGGGUACAGUGGGGACACAGUGAUGGGGACACAGCAAUGGGGACAGCAGGGAUACAGAGAUAAGGACAGCAGGGAUACAGUUGCGGGGACAAUGGGAAUACUGCGAUAGGAACAGCGAGGACACAGGGAUGGGGACAGAGGGACACAGCAGUGGGAACAGAGGGGAUACAGUGAUGGGGACUGUGGGAACACAGACAUGGGGACAGCAGGGACACAGUGCUGGGGCCGCCCGGUGCCCUCUCCCUGUUCCUCCCCCUGCUUUGUCUCUGGCCCCGUCUCCCAGCCAGGCAGACACAAAGAGCCUCUGACCCGGGAGGAGAAAUACGCCUUGCAGAGAAAAUCCUCCCCAGCGCCCCGAGCAGAGUGCGGAUGGAAGCGUGGCACCCCGGCUGCUCCCCGUAUCGCUCAGUGCCUCCAAGUGCCACUCAGUGACAUCUCCUCCACACACACCAGGGAAGUGGCGUUUUCCCACAUCCAGGAGAUGUGCCUGAGCUCUUCCUCUGUCUCCACGUCAAAAUAAAGAGGUCCCAAUGGGACGAAUCCCCAGAAGCACAUCCUGAGGCUUCUGGGUCAUGCAGGAGCAAAAAGUCGGAUCUGGGACUUUUUUUCCUUCUCGCUGCUAUCCGUUCCCUCGAGCACUCAUAAAUCCUGGCUGUACCAAUGGGGGCUCAGGGGGGGUAGGCAGGCUGCAGGCCCGCAGUGCCCCACAAAUCCUCCUCCUACGUCUGUGUCCAAGCAUCAACAAGCAGAGCAUCACCUCACCAUCCCCUGCUGCUCUGCCGCCCUCCCAUGCGGACAGGCAUGGCAACAAGGCCACCUCUCCGCUCUCUGCCCCAUCGGCCUCCCCAGAGAUCUGAAUUCUGCUUAAGCCCUGAUUUCAGCCACAGGUGAGCGCAGCACUGAGGACGCAGCACGGUCCACCCAGAGCAUCCCUCCCUGAGCAUGGUGCAGAAGAAACCCCUCUGAGAGCGCUGCACUGGGGAUGCGUUGGGCAGCUCGUUAGCUGCUGGGGUUAACGAGCUGCUCGGUGGGUUCCCUGCAGCCUGGGCUGGGCACGGGGUGAGCUGCGGGUGCAUCAGGUCGGGAGCGGCUGCACCUCUCUCAGCAUCUGCUCAGCUCUGACACGGUGCUCACUUGGGCUUUUUUUUUUUUUAAUUGUCUUGAUGUCCCUCAUUUGCAUAAUCCCCACAAUGCAGCGCAGCAGGCCUUUUGCUCUGAGCUAAUAAAUAGAUGACAAAAAUAAAUGUGUCAUGUAAGAUUUGCUUCCAUUUCUUUCCCCCUUUGUGAGUGAGCUAUCACCAAGAAAUGAUGCUGGCGGAGCUGAUCUCCCAGGAGCUGUCAGCCUGGACUCAAAGCUUGCUUUGCCCAUGGAACACAACUUGGCCAGAUGUUAGAGUGAGAUGUGCAAGCUGAGAGCUGCAGCGGGAGGAGAUGUCCGCACUCCUCAGCCCCUCUGCAUUGCUCCCUAUAGAGAUGGCCCUGCAAAAUCAGCCCCAGGGCAGCGGGCAAAGGGCAUUCAGACAUCCAUUGCUGUGGGUUGCAGCGUGUCCACGUCCAGGCAGGUGCUGGCAGUGCUCUAUUUUCUGUGAUUUUCUUCAAAAUCAGCUGUCGGUGCUUGCAGUGGAGAUGGCACCAUUUAGGAAAUGAGCUCCCUGAGCCAAGAAGAAGAGUGAUUGCUCAGCUGUGAGCAUCCAAGGGGACACCUGAGGCUGGAACAGCACCACGUGUUUCCUACAGGAUGAUUCCUCCUGCAAGGCUGUAUUUCUCACUUCGAGGAACUUGGCUGGACGGCGCCCAGGGAAGCAAGGGGAACAAAGACAAAGUCCUAAAGGAGAGCCUGCAAUCCAUCCCCAGGGCUCUGCAUGGCUGCAUGUCCUCGGGGCUGAGAUCAGGGAUGAACCACCUUACCCUUCUCCAUGCCGUGCAGGAUGUGGAUGUGAGCAGAGAGCAGCAGGACGCAUUGGGUUCCACAAGGUUUAGGAGCUGGUUACUUUGCGCCGGGUGCUGGCAGCUCUGGAGAUCAUCACUUGGGCCAUCUUUUCUCCUCCCCACAGCCCUGUGAGUCAGGAGGAUUCUCAGAUCUUAUGUAAAAGCAUUUCCAACUGUGUUGUUUGUGCCUGAAAACGCGAAUCCUAACAGGUAGGAGCUAGAAGAGAAAUAAAGACCUGAUAAUAUACGAGCUUCCUUUAUUUUUUUUCUUUUCUUUUAGAGCCCUGGCCUGCUUUAAAUCAC